rnacentral:rRNA from 1 species
UACGAAGGGGGCUAGCGUUGCUCGGAUUUACUGGGCGUAAAGGGCGCGUAGGCGGAUAGUUCAGUCGGGGGUGAAAGCCCGGGCUCAACCUCGGAACUGCCUUCGAUACUGGCUAUCUUGAGUACGGGAGAGGUGUGUGGAACUCCGAGUGUAGAGGUGAAAUUCGUAGAUAUUGGGAAGAACACCGGUGGCGAAGGCGGCUCACUGGCUCAUUACUGACGCUCAUGCGCGACAGCGUGGGGAUCAAACAGG